GGCAGGGGUAGACCAGGCGAAAUUCAUCCACACCCACACCGCUGGGGCAGGGGUAGACCUGGCAAAAUUCAUCCACACCCACACCGUUGGGGCAGGGGUAGACGAGGCAGAAUUCAUCCAUGUCAUCUAUUUGUUUGACUUGGAGCCUUCCUGCUGCCCACGCCUAUACGCUUCGUUUGACCUUAGGCUCUAGACUGGAGAGACACAGGGACCCCUUUAAGGCCUAAGAGGAGAGGUGCAGUUAAGGAAAAAUGGUAAUUUGGGGAUGUUUCCUGUCUCCUCCACCCCCACGGCCUAAACAUUCCCUUCCCAGGUCCCUGGAGAGUGGUGGAAAGAAAGCGGAUUCCACUCCCCGCCUUAGGCCCUCCGGAUGCGGGUCUAGACCGCCGGCGACGGGAGGUGUCUUGAGUGAGUCUGUGACUGCCGAGCACACCCGCCGCGGAGCGGAGGCUGCUGCGUGCUGAGGCUGAGAGCGGGGUUCCGCCCCAUAUCUGAGAGCCGCUCUCUGAUUGGCUUGGGAAACCGUAUCUCAGCGCUUUGGCCUAGCGACUUUGAAAGUGUUUGCGCCUGAGACCGAAGUGCAGAGGAGGGCGAGCACAGGCGGAGAGGAUUGAAGAAUCAGCGAUUCCUGAUUGGCCAGGCGUGUCUUGAGGGCGGGGCCAGAACUGCGUCCUUAAGUGACCUCGCACUUGCCCCGCUCACCCGCUCCGCGUUAUUCAGGGUUUACACCGCCUGACUCACUGCGCUAUGCGUUCCCUCACACCUGCUGGAUGCCAGGCGGCGGUGUGCCAGGCUCUGAGGGGCCGCGAGCUCACCCCAGACGCCAGCCCCGGGAAUCCUCUGUUCCUCCACUUUCCCUUCCCGCUGCUGCUUUCUUGGCCACCCACUCCCAGGUGUCACUCUUGGGGCAUCCAGAUGCUCUGGCAUUUGACCUGACUCCAGCCUAAGCGCGAGGACGGGAGAAAGGCCAAGGAACCCAAAUCCUCAGAGCUGACUGAAAAGCGCGUGUUGUUGAAUUCGCUGAGGGGCAGACGUGCGGAAUGUGAGCCGUGGGGCGAAGGGACAGCUCCGGAGGCUCGAGAUUCCGGAACCCGGGUGAUCCGGAACAGACGAUGAAGAGACAGACUAGCGUGAAAGGGAGCAGCGAUGCCUACACUGACCUCCGGAGGGCAGCAUGAUCAAGGGAAGGAGCUGUUCACGCUCCGCUCAAACCCCCGCGCAGCCUCUGCGGCUUACUCCGGCUUCCCAAGGCGGUGAGGUUCCACCCCCACCACCGCCGGCCCCCGCCGCCCUCUUCGCGCUGAAGCUGCAGAGGGUCUGUUUCUUCAGCCCAAAAUCCUCUGCUCUGUGGUUUAAGAUUCCCAGGCUUAAACUCGUAACUGCUAGAGUCAUCACUCAAACUUCUCCCACACUUGUUUUGGUGAUGACGGACACAGGGGCCUCACAGACUCAGAAGCAUCUGGAAUCAUUCCGAAGGACAGAACUGUGUCAUUAUCCUCUUUCCCCCUGCUAAUCUCUGAGAACAGUGUCUGUAUAUGGCACAGGGGUCCCUAGUGUUAUAUAGAAGGACUUGGCGAUGUCCUCAUGGGCUGUAACGGCCCCCAGUGCUAUUCAGGGAUCUCUGUCCUUUAAAGAGAUAUCAUUUCCCUUUAUUUCUCUACCUUUGUGCCCUCACUUCGCCCUGAAUUGUUUCCUUAAACUGAGCUUUCUGGGAAACGUUUACUUCGUGUUCAACAGCAAAGUCUUGUGUUCAACAGCAUAAGGCGAGGGCGGCAGGGGACAGUGGGGCGGGAGUUUGUUUGCUUUGGCAUUAAUUUCAGAGCUGCUGAACGUGGACAAAAGAGAGAAGGAACAUUC